rnacentral:rRNA from 1 species
AGCGAACGCUGGCGGCAGGCCUAACACAUGCAAGUCGAACGAACUCUUCGGAGUUAGUGGCGGACGGGUGAGUAACACGUGGGAACGUGCCUUUAGGUUCGGAAUAACUCAGGGAAACUUGUGCUAAUACCGAAUGUGCCCUUCGGGGGAAAGAUUUAUCGCCUUUAGAGCGGCCCGCGUCUGAUUAGCUUGUUGGUGGGGUAAUGGCCCACCAAGGCGACGAUCAGUAGCUGGUCUGAGAGGAUGACCAGCCACAUUGGGACUGAGACACGGCCAAACCUCCUACGGGGGGAAGCAGGGGGGAAUCUUGCGCAAUGGGCGAAAGCCUGACGCAGCCAUGCCGCGUGGAUGAUGAAGGUCUUAGGAUUGUAAAAUCCUUUCACCGGUGAAGAUAAUGACUGUAGCCGGAGAAGAAGCCCCGGCUAACUUCGUGCCAGCAGCCGCCGUAA